CGCGUAGGCGGUUUUCUAUGUCAGGUGUGAAAGCCCGGGGCUCAACCCCGGAAGUGCACUUGAAACUGGGAGACUUGAGUAUGGGAGAGGGAAGUGGAAUUCCUGGUGUAGCGGUGAAAUGCGUAGAUAUCAGGAGGAACACCGGUGGCGAAGGCGACUUCCUGGACCAAUACUGACGCUGAGGCGCGAAGGCGUGGGGAGCAAACA
rnacentral:rRNA from 1 species